rnacentral:miRNA from 1 species
GGUUUCUCUGUGUAGCCCUGGCUGUCCUGGCACUCACUCUGGAGACCAGGCUGGCCUUGAACUCAGAGAGAUCCACCUGCCUCUGCCUCCCAAGUGCUGGGAUUCAAGGCAUGCACCACCACUUCCC